UGGUGACAGACUCCGAAUGGUUGAGGCUGAGUGCAGAGGAACAAUUGGCCUGGGCUAAAAAUACUCAAGACCCUCAGAUUGCAGUAGGGUCCUAUUCCCCAUUAGAAGAGAAGAUUCAGGUGGUGUCCAUUCUUCAGAAGUGAGGAAACUGUUUAGUCCACAAGUUUCAGCAGGAGAAUGAAACACUUCAUAAACUUAAGGCCGUGUCUUCUGAUUUCCAGUUUGCUAAAGCAGAGGCAUACUACUAUCAAUAGCAUCAAGAAAUGAUGAUGGAAGAAGCAUGGAAAUACAAUAUGGUUCCAAAAUGGGAAACUAAAAUAGAGGAAGAGGAAAAGAGACCACAACGUGAGAAAACAGAAGAUACUAAAAAAUGGGACUAUCUAGUGCCUGAGGGGGAACUGAGUCUUAUAAAGAAACAUAUACCAGGCUGAACAAACCAGAGGCCUCAGAGACCACAAACACCGACUGCUCCCUCAAAGAAUUCCCAGUGAAAUACUUUCCCCUAA
rnacentral:sRNA from 1 species